GCGGACGGGUGAGUAACACGUGGAUAACCUACCUAUAAGACUGGGAUAACUUCGGGAAACCGGAGCUAAUACCGGAUAAUAUUUUGAACCGCAUGGUUCAAAAGUGAAAGACGGUCUUGCUGUCACUUAUAGAUGGAUCCGCGCUGCAUUAGCUAGUUGGUAAGGUAACGGCUUACCAAGGCAACGAUGCAUAGCCGACCUGAGAGGGUGAUCGGCCACACUGGAACUGAGACACGGUCCAGACUCCUACGGGAGGCAGCAGUAGGGAAUCUUCCGCAAUGGGCGAAAGCCUGACGGAGCAACGCCGCGUGAGUGAUGAAGGUCUUCGGAUCGUAAAACUCUGUUAUUAGGGAAGAACAUAUGUGUAAGUAACUGUGCACAUCUUGACGGUACCUAAUCAGAAAGCCACGGCUAACUACGUGCCAGCAGCCGCGGUAAUACGUAGGUGGCAAGCGUUAUCCGGAAUUAUUGGGCGUAAAGCGCGCGUAGGCGGUUUUUUAAGUCUGAUGUGAAAGCCCACGGCUCAACCGUGGAGGGUCAUUGGAAACUGGAAAACUUGAGUGCAGAAGAGGAAAGUGGAAUUCCAUGUGUAGCGGUGAAAUGCGCAGAGAUAUGGAGGAACACCAGUGGCGAAGGCGACUUUCUGGUCUGUAACUGACGCUGAUGUGCGAAAGCGUGGGGAUCAAACAGGAUUAGAUACCCUGGUAGUCCACGCCGUAAACGAUGAGUGCUAAGUGUUAGGGGGUUUCCGCCCCUUAGUGCUGCAGCUAACGCAUUAAGCACUCCGCCUGGGGAGUACGACCGCAAGGUUGAAACUCAAAGGAAUUGACGGGGACCCGCACAAGCGGUGGAGCAUGUGGUUUAAUUCGAAGCAACGCGAAGAACCUUACCAAAUCUUGACAUCCUUUGACAACUCUAGAGAUAGAGCUUUCCC
rnacentral:rRNA from 1 species